GUAGGCUGGAAUACCAAUUACAGAAAUGAGUGGAGCUCAUCCUUGAAGUUUCUUCUCUCUGCUGCAAGUAGACAUAUGUCAGCACACAGGGAAUAGCACAGAUGUAUCAAGGUCUUUCAAGUAACCAGGCAGCUUUGUGUAAUGGAGCAGGCUGUGGUUGACAUACUAAAUCUUAAAAAGGAAAAGAAGUCACUUUGUAUUGAGAACAAAAAGAGCUGCAAGACAGAAAAGUUGAUACUCAAUUUCUGGCCUGGUUACUCAAUGGCGACCUCACUGCCCCUGACCUUGCUCACACACACAGGACCUCACACACUGCACUUCAUUCUUCACUGCUCUUCAUGUGGGCAGCGCGCUCACAGGACCAAUUGCAGCAUUGUGAAGAAGUAAGUUCUUGAAUAAUUCUCAGGACAUUCAUCUGCUCUACCAGCCUGACAUUUA
rnacentral:lncRNA from 1 species